UCAAUCAUAAUCUUAGAUUAACAAUUUAGUUUCCCAUCAAGUCACACAUCAUCAUUGAAUAAAAUUUAAACAUUCAAAUCAAACUAAAAAAAAUAAAAAAAUAACAAAAAGAUAGAAAAACCCAAGAAUUGUAUUCUUGAUCUCCAAAUCUCCUUGAAUACUUCAAUUUAUUAUCAGCUUCAAUGACUUUGUGGCUUAACUCUCA
rnacentral:lncRNA from 1 species